GCCAGUGUGGCAUAAUGGUUUGAGAGUUGGACUACAACUCUGGAGGCCAGGGUUCAAUUCCAAGCUUGGCCA
rnacentral:tRNA from 1 species